rnacentral:rRNA from 1 species
UACGUAGGGUGCAAGCGUUGUCCGGAAUUAUUGGGCGUAAAGAGCUCGUAGGCGGUUUGUCGCGUCUGCUGUGAAAUCCCGAGGCUCAACUUCGGGUCUGCAGUGGGUACGGGCAGGCUAGAGUGCGGUAGGGGAGAAUGGAAUUCCUGGUGUAGCGGUGGAAUGCGCAGAUAUCAGGAGGAACACCGAUGGCGAAGGCAGUUCUCUGGGCCGUAACUGACGCUGAGGAGCGAAAGCGUGGGGAGCGAACAGG